UGAUGUCUGAGGAACUCAGUAAAAUCACUGUCAAGACACCUGUCAGUUACAGGAAAUGACAUAAAACCCAGAGUUCUUCUUUCAAUGCACAUUCUCUCAGAGAGCGAGUCAGAGGUGAGACCAGAGCUACAACAUGUGUUGUUCCUGCUCUGCUUGAGGCUGGCUGCUUUUCUUCACAAUCCUACAACUGUUAUUCUCCCAGAAUGUCCUUCAGAUUGAUGGCAUGGGUUUCAUUGUCACCCUUUGGAUGUCUUGCAGCAGUGAAAAUGACCUAGAUGAACGUCUGUCUCCAGUCAGAUGGGUGUGUGUUAAUGGUGAAGGACCUAGAUGAACGUCUGUCUCCAGUCAGAUGGACUAUCUUCACAGCAGGUGUGGUCUCCUUUCUCCUUGGCAUCACGGGUCUGCAUGGAGCUCGUAAGAAGAACAAGAACUUCCUGAUCAUGGUACGUUCAGUUCUUAAAGGGGCAAUCUGGGAUUCAAACAUUGCCAUCAUCCUUCUGCUAUUUUGUAAACCGCUGAGGGAUGGGGCUUGAAAAAUGUAACCACACUCAAACCCUAAGAUGGUUGAACUACGCUCCUGAGGCCUUUAUAAAUUACAUUCUUCAAGAAUAAAUAGCUACAUAUCAUUAAUUUGAAAGUCCAAAAUCUGGUUUAUCAAUCCCAGAUAUCCCCUUUAAUAAAGCCCAAAUUUCAUUGGUAAUGUCAACAAAUGAAAUACUUUAUUAUUUGAUCCGUUUAUUACUAAGACCAAGUUAAGUAUACUGUAUCACUUAGUACAGUGUAUUUCCCCCAAUAUAAUGUUUAUUAUUUACUAUAUUCAUGUGGUGUCACGUCCUGACCAGCAGAGGGAGGUAGUGUAUCAGUUGUGGUCAGGAUGUGGCAGGUGGUUUGUGUUUGUUAAAUGUUGUGUGGGUGAUUGGACUCCCAAUUGAAGGCAGGUGUGUUGAGUUGCCUUUGAUUGGGAGUCCUAUAUAGGAGUGUGUGUUUUUCUUUGGGGUUGUGGGUAGUUGUUUGUGAUCACUGCUUGUUUAGCCUGUCACACUGUUGCUGUCGUGAGUAUUGUUUUGUUGGUUUUCAUGUGGAUGCUCUACUUGUUUCUCAUCAAUAAACAUGAGUAUCCACAUUCCCGCUGCGCCUUGGUCCAUUCGUAACGACGGUCGUUACAUGUGGUGAUGUAGUAUUCUGUUGGAUCUUGUCUUGGAUGCAUUGGACUCAGGUUUCUGGCCUACUACCUUCCACCACAGCUUCCAAAUAUAAAAGCCUUGUAUGAAGAGUACAUCCCAUUGCACACAAAUGGAAGAGAUCUGGUAGGACUGACGGUACUGCAAACCAUUGGGGGAUGCUGUGGAUUGGUCAACGUGUAUGAAGAUUGGGGUUCUAAAUGCUAUCCUCUCUGACUAGAGUCCUGUGUUCUUACUGAGUAUGGCUAUGUGUACAAACAAGCCAUUGAAAUGCUUCUGGCGUUGGUAAUGACCCGUAGAAUCCAAAAAGCCUCCUCGGCUGAGGUGACCGUGGCUCUUACUUAUAGAAACGCAACCAACAUGGAAAUGGCAACUACUCCUCAUCUUUACACCAGCGCUUAUUAUCCACCACCUCCGUACCAGUACGAUGGGAAAACUAGAGGGACGUGACUGACCAGUGAACCCAUGUUGAAUUUCCUCAUUGGUAACGGCUGGACUAGGGCUGGGUUUAAGACUAGGGGUAAAGUUAGGGUUGGGGUCAGUUUUAGUGUUUUCCUUCUUCAGACUGCCAAUGUGUUGCACUCCAAUAUGCCUUAAUAAAGGCUGAGCACUGCUGUUUAAUGUGAGACAAUGUAGAAGUUUGUGGGUUCUGGAAAUAACGUGGCCGAGGGAAGGGGUCCAUUACAUUGUCAAACAAUCACCCACGUGAAGCACCAGUUUUCCUGUCUGGUAACUCCAAUAACAUCAAAUAAACUUGGUCUCAUUUUCUAAAGUUCUAAACUCUAAUGUUUAAUUCAGUUAAUCAUUUGUUGGCUUUCAGUGAUGUGUAUAAAGGGUUAAUUCUUUUUUUUCUUGUGGAGGUUGUCAGGGCUGCUUUGUAAUUUCCCAUCAUCCUGUUCCAACAGUAUUAUGCCUCGCAUGCACGUAUACACAGUACGUGCAGAUCAGUGCUGUAAAAAAUACAAAACCACAGUACAGCACAUUGUUUUCAAAGGAAUGGAAAACUAUGCUUGUCGUGAGAAUUGUAACCACAAGAGUGUAGAUGGGACACACUUCCAACUAUUGAAAAAGCCCCUUUGUUUUUACUCUGUUUAAAUGUAAGACUGUAUAACUGAACUGCAACCUGGCGGAAGUGAUUACUGUGGUCAUACUAAAAUGCAGGUGUCACGUCCUGACCAGUAAAAGGGGUUAUUUGUUAUUGUAGUUUGGUCAGGGCGUGGCAGGGGGUGUUUGUUUAGUGUGUUUCAGGGUUUUGGUUUAUGU